UAACGUAGGGGGCUAGCGUUGUCCGGAUUUAUUGGGCGUAAAGAGCGUGUAGGCGGCCAGGUAGGUCUGGUGUGAAAACUCGAGGCUUAACCUCGAGAUGUCAUCGGAAACCAUCUGGCUAGAGUCCGGAAGAGGAGAGUGGAAUUCCUGGUGUAGCGGUGAAAUGGCGCAGAUAUCAGGAAGAACACCAAUGGCGAAAGCAGCUCUCUGGGAGCGGUACUGACGCUGAGACGCGAAAGCGUGGGGAGCGAACAGG
rnacentral:rRNA from 1 species